CAAUAGCGUAUAUUAAAGUUGUUGCAGUUAAAAAGCUCGUAGUUGGAUUUCUGGUCGGAAGCUCCUGUCCUCUGAUGAGCGUACAAGUGCGUCCUACCAUCCUUCUCUUAACCUUUAAGGCUUUCGCGGCUUUCUAGGGGCUCAGAUAUUUUACCUUGAGAAAAUUAGAGUGUUUCAGGCAGGCUAGCGCCGGAAUACAUUAGCAUGGAAUAAUGGAAUGGGACUUUUGCCUCUUCUGUUGGUCAUGAGGCUCGAGUAAUGAUUAAUAGGGAUAGUUGGGGGCAUUAGUACUUAACUGUCAGAGGUGAAAUUCUCGGAUUUGUUAAAGACUAACUUAUGCGAAAGCAUUUGCCAAGGAUGUUUUCAUUAA
rnacentral:rRNA from 1 species